rnacentral:rRNA from 1 species
GGGAUUCUAUUAUGAAGGCGGGCUGGACCUCUCGGGGUUACAGCCUUGCUGAAUUAUUCACCCUUGUCUUUUGCGUACUUCUUGUUUCCUUGGUGGGUUCGCCCACCACUAGGACAAACAUAAACCUUUUGUAAUUGCAAUCAGCGUCAGUAACAAAUUAAUAAUUACAACUUUCAACAACGGAUCUCUUGGUUCUGGCAUCGAUGAAGAACGCAGCGAAAUGCGAUAAGUAGUGUGAAUUGCAGAAUUCAGUGAAUCAUCGAAUCUUUGAACGCACAUUGCGCCCUUUGGUAUUCCAAAGGGCAUGCCUGUUCGAGCGUCAUUUGUACCCUCAAGCUUUGCUUGGUGUUGGGCGUCUUGUCUCUAGCUUUGCUGGAGACUCGCCUUAAAGUAAUUGGCAGCCGGCCUACUGGUUUCGGAGCGCAGCACAAGUCGCACUCUCUAUCAGCAAAGGUCUAGCAUCCAUUAAGCCUUUUUUUCAACUUUUGACCUCGGAACAGGUAGGGAUACCCGCAGAACGUCUGCUUAUCAGUAACGCCAUGGAAAGAAUCAUUACCAAAUCUGAAGGCGGGCUGGAACUCCGGGGUGACACCCUGCCGAAGUACCCCCCUUGUCUUUUGCGUAGUUCUGGUUCCUUGGGGGGUUCGCCACACUAGGACAACAUAACCCUUUGGAAUUG